rnacentral:lncRNA from 1 species
GGGGCGGGGCGGUCUCUCGCCGGCCCGCGCGGUGCCCCGCCAGCCCCACGUGCGGAGCGGAGACCGGCCCCCGUGCCGAGGCGCCUGGCUCAGCAGUGCCCCGGGCAGGGGCCGGAGCGGAGCCGUGCGCAAUGGUCGGGGCCGGCAGGGGCGGGGGUUUUGCACCCGCUCCCUCUCCUGGGCCUGGAUAAAUAAGGGGCCGCGGCCGCCGCCCCUGAGCAACUUCUCCUUCAGGCCCCCACAUCUCUGCAAAGCCGGCGGCUGCAGCCAAGCGAGCAAUGGACCCCCAGGACUGUCCCUGUGCGAUCGGUGGCACCUGCACCUGUGGUAACAACUGCAAAUGCACAAACUGUAAGUGCACGUCAUGCAGAAAAAGCUGUUGUUCCUGUUGCCCACCUGGAUGCGCCAAGUGUGCCCAAGGAUGUAUCUGCAAAGGACAACCUUCCACCAAAUGCAGCUGCUGCAAAUAAUGAAUGCAACUUCCCUUCCUGACAAUGAUCUGUAUAUUUGGUGACAUGAAAAUAACCUUAUUGUGCUUUUUGUAUAUUUGUCCAAAUACG